GUUUCUGUAGUGUAGUGGUUAUCAUGUUCGCCUCACAUGCGAAAGGUUCCCAGUUAAAAACUGGGUAGGAACA